ensembl:lncRNA
AGAUUGUGGAGUACAAAGAUGUCCAAGCCUGCUUCUCGUAGCUCUCAGCUGCUGCUGUCGGAUCAGAAGUGUGCUAAAUGUCUGUUGGAGACGUAUGUCAAGCGGAGCCUCAGCCUGAAUGAAGGAUGCAGGAAACAUCAGCUAAAUAAACACAAAUGGCUUAAGCCAGACAGGCAGUCCAGACGGGCGUCCAGUGACACCUCCACCCAGCGUUUGAGAGUAGAGAGGCUCCUGAAGACCAGCGAGUGCCCUGAAUGCACAACACCAGAACUUGUCACUAGGAGAAAGAGCACCAAAGCACCAAACAGAACCAAAUCAUUCUUCAGAGGCUUUCUCCACCUCUUCUCUAAGAAGAAGACCGCGCCCAGAGUGAAAGAUGAGCGAGUUACAGAAACAGACUCUGGACAACAUAUGAUAGAACAGGGGCUUCGCUCUUCUCAGAAAGGCUCACCUGGCCUCAGUGUGAGGAAAAAACACUCUCUGAGAAGGAUCUUCUUUAGCAAUCAAAAUGAUGAGAAAAGAGAGUCCCUGCAAAAGGACUCCUCUCGUGUUCAUGGAGGCGUGGAGGGGCUUUCAGACGAGAGCGUGGACUCUGAUAAUACAUACUUUGAGAAGGUGUCAGAAGAACUGGAGUUGAUUGUGAAGGAGAUUCAGUUCAGUCCAAAAGAAGAUGCUCCGCUUCUCUCUUCUGCUUCUGUAGGAGACUGCAGCUCUUCAGGUGAUGACACUACAGAGAGGAUUACCAGCCUGCUGAAGCAACAUGGGGAUAUUAUUGAUCAGAAAAUAAGCAGGAACAAGAGUGUCCAAGACUUCCUCCAGAAACUGUCUUACAGCUCCUUCCAGCAGCUGGCUGAUCGCUACAUAGCGCAGAUCCCCAGUCCUCUUCCCCAGACCACAGACGCCUCCCCUGAGCUGGUCAGACUCGCCUUCACCCUGGACUUUACCGCCAAAGUGGCUGGAUUGUGCAGCCAGACAGUCGGUCGGAUCAUGGGGUUUGGUAACCAGUACCUUCAGGAUUCCUUCACACAAAUGUGUGCAGCCCACAGACAGGUGCCGGAAGAUUUGGAAGAACAGAGUACAAGUGAUACAGACUGACUGUGAAGUCAAAAACGACAAAAAAAAAAGAUAAAAAGUGCAAUAGAGUUAACUCGGGGGAAACUGAUGUAUUUGUAGCUGCUUUUGUGAAUAAGCCAAAUUUAGUAGUUUGUUUAUACUGUAAGCUUACAGUGACCGACUGUGAAAAUUACAACAGUUGAACCUGAUACUAAAACUGUGAAUAAUAUUUGUUUUGUUUUUUUUUACACCAAAUUAGCAUAUUCUACUGAUUUCUGAAUGAUAAUGUGACAUUGAAGACUGAGUAAUGACUGCUUAUUUUAAAUUAUAAUUGAGCUAUUUUAAAAUGUAUUAAAAUAGAAAAAAGUUAUGUUAAAUUGUAAUAACAUUUCAAAAUGUUGCUGUUUUUACUGUAUUGUUAAUUAAAUAAAUGCAGCCUUGGUAAAUAUAAGAGACUUCUU